UACGUAGGGGGCGAGCGUUGUCCGGAGUUACUGGGCGUAAAGCGCUUGUAGGCGGUCCACCAAGUUUGGGGUGACAGUUGCCGACUUAAUCGGCAAAGUGCCUCAAAGACUGGCGGACUUGGGGGCCACAGAGGGACAUGGAACUCCAGGUGUAGUGGUGAAAUGCGUAGAUAUCUGGAAGAACACCAAAGGCGAAGGCAGUGUCCUGGGUGGUCGCUGACGCUGAGAGGCGAAAGCCAGGGGAGCGAACGGG
rnacentral:rRNA from 1 species